AUUCCUCCAUCCCACUUGGAGAGCCUGACAAGCUACGGAGAGUAUCUUGCCUGUAGGGCAAAGCCUGGCAAGCUACCCUUGUCGUAUUUGACAUGCCAAACACAGUAACAAGUCUCACCAUGUUACUGGGUCUGCUCAAGCAAAUCGAUGAACAACGGGAGGACAGUGACAGUGACAGUGACCAGGAACUUAAAAUGCUAGACUUCAAUUCAAAUGUGUUUCCAUUAGCCGGUUGUGUAAAUUGUCGAUGGUGCUCUCAAUAGUUCUAAUGACUUGGGAGGAUCCUGCAAGUGAUCUUGGUCCUGUUGCGAUGACUGCUAGUUCCUGAAUUAUGUAUGAGAAGAUGGAGGAGAGAGAAUUCUCAACAGGAUUAUAAAAAAACGUAAGGCCGAGGGAGCUCGCUGGGGAUGCCUGGUGCCUUUCCUAGUGUUUAUGCAGGUGCUGUCUCAACUUUCCACCAUUCGGCUGCCGAAUUCAAACCACCGCCCAGACCCACUAACGCUUCAGAGGAGACAGGGUUGGAACCCGAGGGACUUUAUAUUAAACCACCCCGGCAAGACAGCGCCCCCGAACGCCACGCUCUCACAAGACCCAGCGGCUGUUUACAAUGGAAA